ACGUAGGUGACAAGCGUUAUCCGGAAUUACUGGGCGUAAAGCGCACGCAGGCGGCUGCGUAAGUCUGACGUGAAAUCUCUCGGCUUAACCGGGAGCGGUCGUUGGAAACUAUGCGGCUUGAGGCGAUGAGAGGGGUGUGGAAUUCCCGGUGUAGUGGUGGAAUGCGUAGAUAUCUGGAAGAACACCGGUGGCGCAAGCGGAUUGCUGGGCCAUAACUGACACUGAGGAACGAAAGCUAGGGUAGCGAUGGGA
rnacentral:rRNA from 1 species